UAACAGAUAGCUGGGCCUCACAGGACAGGCACCAGAGUGUCGGGAAUGGAGGCUGUUCUUUCCCUCUGAGGAGUCUGUGGUCAUUGAUCUCUUGCCUCUCAUUUUUCUCCUUUCUGCUCACAAGCUUCCCUUUUUGCAUGGCAGCCAUUCCUAACCCUACAUCAGAACUAUUCAGCUCCAGUGCGUGCCCCAUACUGAAACUUUCCUUAUUGCUCUCUAGUUCAAAUAUCAGGAGGGCCUGGCUGAGUUUAACUCAUGGCUGGCACCUGUUCAGUCAUGUCCAGCUUUGGCUCUUUUGGCUGAGGCUGAUGUGACAGUGCAGGGGCUCCACCUCUAGGGGCUGUGAGUGAAGCAGGCCUGAUGGAAUUAUCCUGCCACACAACAACCAGAGCUGGAGGAAACUUUAGGGGGCAGAGAAAAACUUCUGAAGCAGUUUAUGAAGAGGCUGGAAGACUUAGCAGGCUCAUGUGUCCAUGCAGAUAGGUGCAGAUGGUCACAACUCCGGAGUACGGCAGGCUGUUGGAAUCCAGAAUGUGAGCUGGAACUAUGACCAGUCUGCUGUUGUGGCUACUCUGCAUUUAUCAGAGGUAAGAUCCUGAGCUGCCAUCUGGGGACUUUAUUCAUAGGCACUAGGUACUUCACAGAGAAACUCUUCUCCUCUCUGUUGCAGGCCACAGAAAACAACGUAGCCUGGCAGAGAUUUCUUCCCUCUGGGCCUAUUGCUCUGCUCCCGCUCUCAGACACCUUGAGUUCCUUGGUUUGGUCCACGUCCCAUGAACAUGCAGCAGAGCUAGUUACCAUGGAUGAGGAAAAAUUUGUGGAUGCCGUUAACUCUGCCUUUGUGAGUAUCAAUUUACCCAGCUGAUGAUGUGUUGCAGGGGGAGAUACAGAAAGGUGUUUUUUUUUUUUUUUUGAAACGGAGCCUUGCCAGGGUGGAGCGCAGUGGCACGAUCUUGGCUCACUGUGCAAUCUCCGCCUCCCGGGUUCAAGCGAUUCUCCUGCCUCAGCCUCCCAAGUAGCUGGGACUACAGGCACGUGCCACCACGCCCAGCUAAUUUUUGUAUUUUUAGUAGAAAUGAGGUUUCACCAUGUUGGCCAGGCUGGUCUCAAACUCCUGACCUCAAGUGAUCUGCCUGCCUUGGCCUCCCAAAGUGCUGGGAUUACAGGCGUGAGCCACUGCACCCAGCCAGAAAGGUGGUUUUGAGUCAGGAAAAAGGAGUAACCAGUCAGCUGUCCCUUUGUACUUUGUAACUAUAAUGCUUGGUCUGGAUUAUGUGGAGGAGUGUAUACACGGAAAUGCAAAACAAUAGAAAUAAUAAAUAAUAACCUUUUGAGGGUUGUGGGCUGCUGUUAGGCUGACUGAAACAGCUGCCUGGGUGGUGGUUAGCAUUGGCCUUUUUUUGAAGCUGUAACACUUGGAUUAUUUUGAACAGUUCUACUAGGUUGCAGCUACCUGAACCUUUCAAGCCUGAUUCAUUGGAAGUAUUCCUAGGGAAAGGCCGAGCGAAUUUCAGCAUGGGGCUUAAGAGUAAGCUUAGUAGAUAGAUGUGGGUUCAAAAAUGAACAGGUUCUACCUGUUCAUUUCCUGGAAAAUGUAAAUAGUAUCACUAACUGCUCAGGAUUGAAUAAAGACUUUCAAAAUGAGAGAACUUUUGUAAAAUCCAUGGAACAUCUUUAGUACAUUGUAGGUGCUCAACAAAUACUAAUAAUUCUGGAGUAGACACAGCCUUUGGAUAAUAUGGGUACCAGUAUUACUUUUGGAGCCUAAAUGACACUCAAAGCCUGCUACCUUCACACCAAAGACUCCACUGCUGUGUAGUAGCAACAAGAAUAAAGGGAACUGAACAUACUGAAAUGGAUUCCGAGAUAAAUGGUGAACACUACCCUACUCUGGGCCAUUUAGUAUAUAUUCCUGGCACAGGUCUAGGUCCUCUGCAGUGCAGUCAUUCACCAUUAAUUGUCCUUUCUAUGUAGCAGGCUCUGGAGAUACUGAGAACAGUCUCCGCUUUCAGGAAGUUCAUAGUCAAGUAAGGAAGACCGUAAAUGACAAUCUCCGUACAGUGAUAGAAGUAUGCAUAGGAUGCUGUGGAAGCAUACAGGGGGGAAACACAGAGAAAGACUGGAGGAGUUAAAAAGAGGCGACGUCUUCUGGAUGCUCUGAGAUGUUAUCCUAAUGAAAUAGAGACGGGCAUUCUAAGCAGAGGAGAGUCAUGGAGGUAGAAGGAUACUGUGUGAUGAGCUAUACUGUGGCUGGUGCGUGGUUAUUGAGGGUGGGGACUAGUGAAAGGUGAAGCUCAGAAGUAGGCAGGGGCCAGCUCAUGUACAGUUUGGCUAGAUCUUAAAACCUCUGGGGAGUGAUGAGAAGUUGCUUUUCACUUGAGGGGCUUAUCACUUGUCAAGAUCAAUGUAGGCAAGUUGGGUAGCAUUAGCCUAAGCUUUGGUUACAAACAAGAUUUCUUUAUUGAAUUUUUAAUUCCCUGCUACUCACAUUUCACCUUGUUUGUCUUGUGGCUGAUGCUGCUCAGUGGAGUGAUGCUGACCACACGGACUUCAUCGACACAGCUGGUGCCAUGCUGCAGUAUGCUGUCAGCCUUCUGAAGCCCACUAAGGUCUCGGCUCGCCAGCUGCCCCCAAGCGUAGCCAGGGUGGAUGCCAAAAGCCGAGUUCUGUUUCCUCUUGGGUUGGGACAUGCUGCUGAGUACGUCAGGCCUCGGGUGGCGCUCAUUGGGUAAGACGAUAACAGAGCAGGGCCACUCCCUUCUCACUUUGCUGCCAGAGGUCACACCUGAACUCUGCUUUAUUCUUAGGGAUGCAGCCCACAGAGUCCAUCCGCUUGCAGGACAGGGUGUCAACAUGGGCUUUGGGGAUAUCUCCAGCUUGGCCCAUCACCUCAGUACGGCAGCCUUCAAUGGGAAGGACUUAGGUUCCAUGAGCCACCUCACAGGUUAUGAAACAGAAAGACAGCGUCACAACACUGCUCUUCUGGCUGCUACAGACUUACUAAAAAGGCUCUAUUCUACCAGUGCCUCCCCGCUUGUGUUGCUCAGGACGUGGGGCUUGCAGGCCACAAAUGCAGUGUCUCCACUCAAAGAACAGAUUAUGGCCUUUGCAAGCAAAUGAGUACUCCUCUCCUAAAGAAAGAUUACGUUGAUGAAAAAGAACAUCCUGCCCAGGACCCAUCAUACAUAUUUUCAAGAUCUUAUUUAAUUUAAUAAACUUACUUUACAUUAAA
rnacentral:sRNA from 1 species